UCUGGAAUCUAAUCCAAAAUUAAAGCAGCUUAAUGAAGGAAAGCAUGGGUGAUUCGGAACAGAACAAUGUCCAUUAGGCAUGGGAGUGUGCAGAACAUGUACCAAAUUACACUGGUGAUGGAGACUCAGGGAAAAUGGACCAGAGAGCCCAGCUUUCACAUUUGGAAACCCAGCCUGAACCAAAAGUGCAUUCAAAUAGGUCUGAAAAGCUCAAGUGGAAAACGUCCUCCUUAAACUUCAUUUCAAAAGAGCCAAAAUUCCAAGAUAAUGCAUCUUAAGAGAAGAAGGAAUAAGAAACAAAAAGCUUGACCUUGUCAAAGAGCCUCCAUCUGGCUGGGAAAGGGUGAUUCCUAGGAGGGAUGUCUGUCAUGAUUAUUUGUUUUCUGCCCAGGGAUCCUUGCAGCCUUGUCUGAGUGAGGCAAUUGUAAAUAAAA